UAUGUUGUCAUAAUCAAGGCCUCUUUAUUGGAAGGUAGUGUUGAAGCAGGCAACUCAGAUGGAAUCUCUUGGGCUAGGGAUAGAUUACCUGUUAGUGUUUUAGAUCUGCUAGAUGCCCGGAGAGGCUCAGAGCCAAGAGAAUCUUCUAUGAGUUCUUCAAAGGAUGGAUGUCUGAUUCAAGAUAAAUGAGAGUCCUGUUGAAGUUACAACCUACUGACUGCACACCUGCAUGAUGGUGUUAACCUCGUAUGGGGGACCCCUAAAGGAUGUCAUAUAUCACAGAAAACCCACUACAUUGCCAGCCCUUAGAGAAGAAAAUGAAAAUGCAUGUGCAGCAAUCUCGAUGACCAAGGUUACCCAAGAAGAAGUUUGCUGUACUAGUAAAUGUCUGGAAGCUAACAUCCACCACUUUGAGCACAUCUUGUAAUUGUA